AUUGAACGCUGGCGGCAGGCCUGACACAUGCAAGUCGAGCGGAUGAAGGGAGCUUGCUCCUGGAUUCAGCGGCGGACGGGUGAGUAAUGCCUAGGAAUCUGCCUGGUAGAGGGGGAUAACGUCCGGAAACGGGCGCUAAUACCGCAUACGUCCUGAGGGAGAAAGUGGGGGAUCUUCGGACCUCACGCUAUCAGAUGAGCCUAGGUCGGAUUAGCUAGUUGGUGGGGUAAAGGCCUACCAAGGCGACGAUCCGUAACUGGUCUGAGAGGAUGAUCAGUCACACUGGAACUGAGACACGGUCCAGACUCCUAAGGGAGGCAGCAGUGGGGAAUAUUGGACAAUGGGCGAAAGCCUGAUCCAGCCAUGCCGCGUGUGUGAAGAAGGUCUUCGGAUUGUAAAGCACUUUAAGUUGGGAGGAAGGGCAGUAAGUUAAUACCUUGCUGUUUUGACGUUACCAACAGAAUAAGCACCGGCUAACUUCGUG
rnacentral:rRNA from 1 species